rnacentral:pre_miRNA from 1 species
CUAGUACUCCCUCCGUUCGGAAUUACUUGUCUUGGAAAUGGAUGUAUCUAGACGUAUUUUAGCUCUAGAUACAUCCAUUUCUGUGACAAGUAAUUCCGAAUGGAGGGAGUACAUG